rnacentral:misc_RNA from 1 species
GAUGAAGAACGCAGCGAAAUGCGAUAAGUAGUGUGAAUUGCAGAAUUCAGUGAAUCAUCGAAUCUUUGAACGCACAUUGCGCCCCUUGGUAUUCCAUGGGGCAUGCCUGUUCGAGCGUCAUUUGUAACUUCAAGCUUUGCUUGGUGUUGGGUGUUUGUCUCGCCUUUGCGUGUAGACUCGCCUUAAAAUAAUUGGCAGCCGGCGUAUUGAUUUCGGAGCGCAGUACAUCUCGCGCUUUGCACUCAUAACGACAGCGUCCAAAAGUACAUUUUACACUCUUGACCUCGGAUCAGGUAGGGAUACCCGCUGAACUUAAGCAUAUCAAUAAGCGGAGGA